rnacentral:rRNA from 1 species
UGAGUAACCUGCCCUUAACUCUGGGAUAAGCCUGGGGAAACUGGGUCUAAUACCGGAUAUGACUCCUCAUCGCAUGGUGGGGGGUGGAAAGCUUUUUUGUGGUUUUGGAUGGACUCGCGGCCUAUCAGCUAGUUGGUGUGGGUAAUGGCCCACCAAGGCGACGACGGGUAGCCGGCCUGAGAGGGUGACCGGCCACACUGGGACUGAGACACGGCCCAGACUCCUACGGGAGGCAG